rnacentral:rRNA from 1 species
AGAGUUUGAUCCUGGCUCAGGACGAACGCUGGCGGCGUGCUUAACACAUGCAAGUCGAACGGUGAUCUGGGGGCUUGCCCCUGGUGAUCAGUGGCGAACGGGUGAGUAACACGUGAGUAACCUGCCCCUGACUCUGGGAUAACUGCUGGAAACGGUGGCUAAUACCGGAUAUGAAGCGCUCCUGCAUGGGGGUGUUUGGAAAGAUUUUUUGGUCAGGGAUGGGCUCGCGGCCUAUCAGCUUGUUGGUGGGGUGAUGGCCUACCAAGGCGACGACGGGUAGCCGGCCUGAGAGGGCGACCGGCCACACUGGGACUGAGACACGGCCCAGACUCCUACGGGAGGCAGCAGUGGGGAAUAUUGCACAAUGGGCGAAAGCCUGAUGCAGCGACGCCGCGUGAGGGAUGGAGGCCUUCGGGUUGUAAACCUCUUUCAGCAGGGAAGAAGCGCAAGUGACGGUACCUGCAGAAGAAGCGCCGGCUAACUACGUGCCAGCAGCCGCGGUAAUACGUAGGGCGCAAGCGUUGUCCGGAAUUAUUGGGCGUAAAGAGCUCGUAGGCGGUUUGUCGCGUCUGCUGUGAAAACCUAAGGCUCAACCUUGGGCUUGCAGUGGGUACGGGCAGACUAGAGUGCGGUAGGGGUGACUGGAAUUCCUGGUGUAGCGGUGGAAUGCGCAGAUAUCAGGAGGAACACCGAUGGCGAAGGCAGGUCACUGGGCCGCAACUGACGCUGAGGAGCGAAAGCAUGGGGAGCGAACAGGAUUAGAUACCCUAGUAGUCC